rnacentral:tRNA from 1 species
CGCCCCCAUCGUCUAGCGGUCCAGGACAUCUCUCUUUCAAGGAGGCGGCGGGGAUUCGACUUCCCCUGGGGGUGG